AUGCGAGACCUGCACGAUCAACACGAUCCAUGCCGGCCACGGACCAAGCACGUGGCCCCGCACUGGCCACAGACCAAGCACGUGCUACAGACCCCACCCUGCCCACAGAUCAAGCUUCGACGUCAAGUGUCCAAACAAAACAUCCCCCAAGUUCUAAGCAGUGUCCCUAAUGCCUGUGGAAUGUAUAGCUCACCGCCUGCGCAGAUGUCAACUAUGCCUGUGUUAGAGUCUCAACACAGUCAACCGCAAGGAACCAGUAUGUCUACUGUAACAACACCUCUGGUGGCUCAACACGGUUUUACCAACAGUGACACAAUCUAG
rnacentral:sRNA from 1 species